rnacentral:rRNA from 1 species
GAUGAACGCUGGCGGCGUGCCUAAUACAUGCAAGUCGAACGCGCAGCGAAAGGUGCUUGCACCUUUCAAGCGAGUGGCGAACGGGUGAGUAACACGUGGAUAACCUGCCUCAAGGCUGGGGAUAACAUUUGGAAACAGAUGCUAAUACCGAAUAAAACUUAGUAUCGCAUGAUACAAAGUUGAAAGGCGCUACGGCGUCACCUAGAGAUGGGUCCGCGGUGCAUUAGUUAGUUGGUGGGUAAAGGCCUACCAAGACAAUGAUGCAUAGCCGAGUUGAGAGACUGAUCGGCACAUUGGGACUGAGACACGGCCC